rnacentral:sRNA from 1 species
AUAUCCUUUCUUAUUGGAUUUUUUUUAUAUUUUAUCAUUUUUCAGCAAAAUUUAUCAAAUCAUAAAUGACUUUAUAUAAUAAAGAUUUUUUUGGUUAAGGCAUUUGAGAAAGAAAAAAAUCCCUGUAAAUCAUUAUAAUGACCUGUAGAGUAGGACAGGAGAAGAUCUAUUCUUUUCUUUUUUUCAGUAAAAAAUAAAAUGGAGAUUAGUAUUGCAUAAUAAAGUUCAACGGGCCUAAUUUACCUCUCAUUUUUUGAGAUGUUUGUAUUUGAAGUGUAAUCUGCUGUGUAUACUGUGCUUAAAAUAUUUGUUCCAUAUUUUUGUGUCUAGUUUAAUAUACAUGCACAAGUUUGCAGUUACAUCCCUUUAACAGUAUCAAUUGAUCUAUUUUAUUCUACUAAUGUAAACAGUAUCUGGUAAUUUUCCAAACUUCCAUUUUGGGCUUUUUUGUGAAUAUUUCAUAUUUAAAUAGUUCAAGAAUUUCAUAAUUCUCAAAAAAUAGAAUAUGCAGAUAUUAUUUGCUAUAUAAAACUUUUGUUUUCAUAAAAGUAUAAGUGGCACAAAUUAAAGUAAAAUUUGCAGGACACAUAAAAAAUUCCUUGCAUGUGAAAUGUGUUCAUUUCUUCAUUUGCAAAAAUGAUUUGUAUUUUUACAUUCAAAAAUCAAAAUGAUAAUAACCCCUUUUCACUGCUUUUGGAUUCAGUGAAGUGCUCAUUAAUGCAUGACCAACAUUAAUAAUUGUAUAAAAACAUUGGUUGUGAACCCAUAUUAUUGCUCAAAAUGUAUGAUAUAUUUAAUUUAAGGCUGUAAAUUGCUGAUUUACUUAUUUGUAAAUAUGACUGGUGAUUUUUUUGGCAGCAAGGUAAAGGCAUGGGCAUUGGCUGUUUCUUUAUAUGUUAAGCUUAUGUGUAUGAUCGUCUUAUUUGACUAAAAUAUGAAUCUCAGUUGUUGUUUAUGAUUUACAUUCCUGAAUAAAAUUUUCCAGCAAUAAAUCUGAAAU